UAAACUCGAGCUCAACAUAGACUUGACAAAUUUUCCAUCUCCUUCUACACCUCAGAUCGAAACCAAUCGGAAGAGAAAAACCCAAGCAAACUCAAAUGAUCCUUUUUUGAAUCAAACUCCAAUCAAAGAAAACCCAAUCUCAUUCUUAUGAUUUCUCUAUAUACUCAUCAAUUUCAGGGAAUUUGAAGAGAUAUAAUAACGAUGAAGGUGAUUGAAAUUCGUUGGUUAUCGUUUCUGAGAUUUUAGGUUCGAGCAGAGAUGGUAUGGAUUCAGAUGACCCGAACGCGCCUUGCAAACUUGGUUCUCAUUUCAUCACACUUGAAAAGAUCAAUGGUGAGGAGGAGAAGCUCUAUAAAGAAAUCAAGGUUCACUAGGGUGUUGGCCGUUAUUCUGGGUGACUGUGUAAUCUAUAACAGAUCUGUUGAGAGUAGUAAGGAUACUUUAUGGUAGUUGAUGUCAUCAGCCAGAAGAUUGGUCUUUACUGCAUACUUCCUGAGAUUCGAGGAGAUACAGAACAAGGAACUGGUGAUUCCGUUAGGAGCAUGAAAUUUUGUUGCGCACGAACUAAAGUAAAGAACACUUCCUAAGAAACGGAAAUAUCGGGUUACGGAUGUAUGGUCAUGGAGUGGCAGUAGCAAUUCUGGCUAUCUACUUUACAUUCCUUCCUAUAUCAAUACCACCAUCCCUUGCUUUGGUUUCACAAUUGUUAAUCUUUUUGUUUAAGUUGUUGGCAGUUGUUCUUUUUGUUUUAGUUAUUGUUUGUCAAUUUUGUUUUGUUUGUUUAGUUAAAUUCUUUUGUCAGUGCUGACAGAUUUGCAACAUUCUAGUUAAAUUUCAGGAGUGUGACAAAUUCGGAUUCGUGUCUCAGAAACUGAUUAGUGACUCGAAAUCUUCCGAUUUUGUGGACUUACUUUUAUUUUCUCAA